rnacentral:rRNA from 1 species
GAAACUGCCUGAUGGAGGGGGAUAACUACUGGAAACGGUAGCUAAUACCGCAUAAUGUCGCAAGACCAAAGUGGGGGACCUUCGGGCCUCAUGCCAUCAGAUGUGCCCAGAUGGGAUUAGCUAGUAGGUGGGGUAACGGCUCACCUAGGCGACGAUCCCUAGCUGGUCUGAGAGGAUGACCAGCCACACUGGAACUGAGACACGGUCCAGACUCCUACGGGAGGCAGCAGUGGGGAAUAUUGCACAAUGGGCGCAAGCCUGAUGCAGCCAUGCCGCGUGUGUGAAGAAGGCCUUCGGGUUGUAAAGCACUUUCAGCGGGGAGGAAGGCGAUAAGGUUAAUAACCUUGGCGAUUGACGUUACCCGCAGAAGAAGCACCGGCUAACUCCGUGCCAGCAGCCGCGG